GACGAACGCUGGCGGCGUGCUUAACACAUGCAAGUCGAACGAUGAAGCCGGAGCUUGCUCUGGUGGAUUAGUGGCGAACGGGUGAGUAACACGUGAGUAACCUGCCCUUGACUCUGGGAUAAGCGUUGGAAACGACGUCUAAUACCGGAUACGAGCUAGGACCGCAUGGUCACUAGCUGGAAAGAACUUCGGUCAAGGAUGGACUCGCGGCCUAUCAGCUAGUUGGUGAGGUAACGGCUCACCAAGGCGACGACGGGUAGCCGGCCUGAGAGGGUGACCGGCCACACUGGGACUGAGACACGGCCCAGACUCCUACGGGAGGCAGCAGUGGGGAAUAUUGCACAAUGGGCGCAAGCCUGAUGCAGCAACGCCGCGUGAGGGACGACGGCCUUCGGGUUGUAAACCUCUUUUAGCAGGGAAGAAGCGCAAGUGACGGUACCUGCAGAAAAAGCACCGGCUAACUACGUGCCAGCCGCCGCGGUAACAC
rnacentral:rRNA from 1 species